rnacentral:rRNA from 1 species
AUUGAACGCUGGCGGCAGGCCUAACACAUGCAAGUCGAGCGAGCGGCGGACGGGUGCGUAAUGUCUGGGAAACUGCCUGAUGGAGGGGGAUAACUACUGGAAACGGUAGCUAAUACCGCAUACCAUCAAAUGGGCCCAGAUGUGAUUAGCUAGUAGGUGGGGUAACGGCUCACCUAGGCGACGAUCCCUAGCUGGUCUGAGAGGAUGACCAGCCACACUUGAACUGAGACACGGUCCAUACCCCUACGGUAGGCAGCAGGGGGGAAUAUUGCACAAUGGGCGCAAUCCUGAUGCAGCCAUGCCGCGUGUAUGAAGAAGGCCUGCGGGCUGUAAAGUACUUUCAGCGGGGAGGCGUUACCCGCAGAAGAAGCACCGGCUAACUCCGUGCCAGCAGCCGCGGUAAUUC